rnacentral:sRNA from 1 species
ACCGGCUAAAAUGGCGUCUACGCCAUUACGUCAGGUGUCAGAUCCGCGCACGACUAGAGGGCGGGAAAGAUUUGAGCUACGCCUGCGCAGAGCUGAGAAGCUGAUGUCUCCUCGACUUCCAACUGGAACCUUGAACCCCCACAUUCCUGGACCUUGAGCAUUCCUCAAGUAGGAAGAUGUAAUGCACCUUGACCUCUUUCUAAAUAAGACACUUCCCCAAAUAAGGGGAGUUGAGAGUGAACAGUCUUCACGUCUCCACCCACUUCCAGAUUCCAGAGGAGACAGACAUCGGAUGGCUGUUGCCUCCUCCUAAAAUGUCUGCAUUUACCCAGAUAAUCUUCCAAUGGAAAUCCAUGGUUCAAGUGCCACCUCUUCAGGAAAGCCAUCUGGCUUCAAUCAGAAUCGACCACGGAAAUUUGACACCUCCGGGCUUGGAAGCAGCUCUCUCCUCCUUCCCCGCUGCUUAUAAACCUCAGCCCUGAGGCUCCAGCUCACUCUACCCCAUCUC